UUGACACUUAUUUCUCACAAGAGCAUUGUAGUAUAGCUCAUUGUGCAAAAUUAUUUUUUAGGUAAGUGGUACCUCUCUACGUUGCUCCUUUUCAUCUUAAUGUGGUCAGGUAGUUGUAUAUUUUACUAUGAAUAUGUAGAUAUUUUUUGCAUAAUUAAAGGUUAAUCAAUACCAUAUUGGCAUACAUACACAAAAUCAUAGUUAACAAUCAUUACUGAGCUCAGAUACCAGUAUUAUGCCGAUGACCUAGUGGUAUUCAUGAAUAUAAUGUCACAUGACUCACAGAGUGUGAGUGUUGCAAGACAGACCUUGAACACCUCCAAGGUAAAAAAAUAGUUUCAGGAUGAAAUUUCCGUAGUUCCUUUCAAAGUGAAAAGAGAAAAAAAAAAACCUUUUCAUGUGGUUAUCCAUGUUUUCCUUAACUUAGAUAUUUUGGGAAAAAUAGAUUGCUUCCAUAAAGCCCAAAUUCUGCCUCUUCAAAUCUGCAAAAUACACAGAAUGCACUAGUCACUCCUGUGCUCAUGCCACAGUAGCUCAGGGCGAUUCGGUGACUCCUGUUUGAAAUGUUAUUUGCCGUUGUCUACGGGACCAAGGUUCCUUUGAAGCGAUUUUGAAACACUGUGGUGUAGUAUCAACAAGGUCUGGCAAUUCAAGCUGUCAUUUCUAUGAGAGAAUGGAAACUUCAUUCACUGCAUCUACUAUUUACAGGGACAUAUUCACAUGUGCACAUUACUGUUGCUAGGAAACUCAGAAAUGGAUUCUGCCUCCAGCCAGGAGUGUUGCAUAAAUAAAUGUCAUCAGAUUCCCCAGUUAUUACAGCCCACUGUUUUCUUUGUUGCUCAUCUUACUGCUGCUGAAUCAUACUUCAAAACCCAAGCCUGGUUAAAUUAGCUUAGGUUGUUGAGUGUCUGCAAGUAUCUAAAACGAAAAUUAAACACACUACAGCUAGUCAUCGUGAAUUCUUCCAUCUAUAAUUGAUUGGUUUGUGUACAUUCAUACAUCUUUCUUACGUUUAAGAAAGUACAGGCCAUCUCUUUUGCCAUAUCUGUAUCUCUAUCCACUGAUAUCCAUUGGAUAUUCUCUUAGACAUACAGCCCAGACACUAUAGGUUUUUCAAGAGUUUUUUUUCUUCCUUCUUUCAACAUCUUUUCGUAUGACUGUAAUGAUGGAACUGCUGAGUUUUGAACAAUUUGGGCAAUAAAACGAUGAGUUGGAUCUGACUUCUGCCAAGGAGGGAUUUGAGGCUGAAAAUGAACAUGAAGGAUAAUCAGAGAAAGAAGAAGAAAAUUGAAAUUCAAGGACCGUCAUAAAAAUAAGCUAUAUUCAAUAUUAAGCUAUGCCUAUUAUUGUUAUAAGACACAUCCCAUUGAGAUGAAUGUAUGACAAUUUGUGGCAAAGACCAUUGCCGGGUGAUCCACUGGACAUAUCAUUACUAGCAUCUUUUCUGAGAUUCUUCUUGUCAGAGAGCAGCAAUUAAAAUAAUUGAUUCUGCGAAAAGAUCCAGCAGUGUAAUGCUUAACAGUCCAUAUCAAAAAGGAGGACGUGGGUGUUACUGGACUUAGGCCCCAUGCUCAUCCAGUAUAAAUUGUUUCUGAACCGAUUCCAGUGCAGAGGAGGAAGUUGCUCAUACCUCCAGCGAGCAAUUCUCAGAUGCCAGCAGGGUGUCCAGGAAUUCAGCUCAAAUCUGACACUACCUACUUGGGGAUGGAAUCG